GACGAACGCUGGCGGCGUGCUUAACACAUGCAAGUCGAACGGAAAGGCCCCCACUUUUUUGGUGGGGGUGCUCGAGUGGCGAACGGGUGAGUAACACGUGGGUGAUCUGCCCUGUACUUCGGGAUAAGCUUGGGAAACUGGGUCUAAUACCGGAUAGGACCAUGGUUUAGUGUCUCAUGGUGGAAAAAUUAUUGUUUUGGUGCAGGAUGAGCUCGCGGCCUAUCAGCUUGUUGGUGGGGUAAUGGCCUACCAAGGCGUCGACGGGUAGCCGGCCUGAGAGGGUGGACGGCCACAUUGGGACUGAGAUACGGCCCAGACUCCUACGGGAGGCAGCAGUGGGGAAGAUUGCACAAUGGGCGCAAGCCUGAUGCAGCGACGCCGCGUGGGGGAUGACGGCCUUCGGGUUGUAAACUCCUUUCGUUAGGGACGAAGCCGCACCUUUUUUGGGUGUGGUGACGGUACCUUUGUGAAGAAGCACCGGCUAACUACGUG
rnacentral:rRNA from 1 species